UGUUUGUUUUGUGUGGAUAUAUCAAUACAUUAAUUAGCCUAUUAUAUUCAUUCACAUAAAUCAUUCUGAUCAUUCAUAAGUGGAUGGUAACAUUUGCUUUACGACCAAAUUGAAAGUUCAAUGCGACUGCCACUAGGAGGCGAAAUGCGCCAAUCACGUGUCAAUGUUUUGGAGACUGUGGAAAGAUGGUUUAAGAGGAUGCAGGCUUAUUAAAGUUUCAUAACAUGAAACACGUAACUCGGGAAGGGAAAAAGGGAAAAAACACACCAUUGAAACCUGCUUCGGGUUUUCUGGGUUUAACUUGACACAAGAGAAAUGCGAGUUUAUUCUCACUGACUGUCGACCUUCACAACAUCACUUCACUGUAGGACAGAUCUUCUCAGAAUAUAUGUAAUGUAAUUGCAAAUUUGCUGGACUUUUCUCUCAGUUUUGAAUAUUAAUAGGCUAUACUGGAGACGAAAAGAAGAAAAUGCUUUGCCUGUUUGCCUUGCUUUAUUAUUCGUGGUAUCUCAUUGGUGUGUUUGCCAUUAAGACAGAUGAAAUAAAGUCAGUGUUAGAGAUGGAGGGAGAAUCUGUCACACUAAACACUGAUGUUACUGUAACACAGAGAAAUAAGAUACUGUGGAAGUUUGGAGAUCGAGGUGUUCUCAUAGCUCUCUUAGAUGACAAUGAGGUCUCAUUAUUUAAUGGUACUGAAGGACAAUUCAGAGACAGACUGCAGCUGGAUCAUCGGACCGGAUCUCUGACCAUCAUAAACAUCAGAACCAAAGACUCUGGACUUUAUGAACUCAACAUCAAGGGAAGGCCAGGGGAGGGAGUGAGUAAAUUUAUUUUUUCUUUCUGUCUAUUCUCAUCUGCUCAUUCCUGACAUCACCAGAGACUCUUCACAAUGUUCAUCAUCAUCAUCAUCAUCAUCAUCACAGCAGAAUUGUUCAUUGCUGUGUUCAGUGUUCAAUGUGAGUCACGUGACUCUCUCCUGGUACAAAGGAAACAGUUUAUUGUCCAGCAUCAGUGUGUCUGAUCUCAGCAUCAGUCUCUCUCUUCCUCUGGAGGUAGAAUAUCAGGAUAACAACACAUACAGCUGUGUAGUGAACAAUCCAGUCAGAAACCAGAGUCAACAUCUGGACAUCAGCGAACUCUGUCACACAUGUUCAGAAAUUCACUGUUGUGGUGUUACUGAAGCUGCGAUCCGAUUGGCCAUCAUUGUUCUGGUGGGUGUGGCUGCUGUUGCUUUUGUAGUUUAUGACAUCAGAUCCAGAAAUGCAGCGUAAAGCUCUGUUCUUUGUAAAUCUGCUCUGUAACAAUGUGUGGUAAAAAGCACUAUACAAAUAAAUACUGUAUUGCAAUAUGAAUGCCAUCACUGUACCUCUAAUUCCUUCCUAAUUGAAGGAUUGUAACUGUAGCUCAUUCCUGAUUGAAAGAAUAAACCAUGAUAUCUGCCCCUUGUUGGAACUGUCCACAUUCUUUCCCCAUUCUGAUUUUGGAAAAAAAAUAAGGGAACAUGUUGUGAUUUAAUGUGCUUCUGAACAUUGGUAAGCAGUGACACACGAAAUGAAGCUCUCAGUAGCCGCAUGUGGCAAAAAGGUGUAGCUGUUUCUGCUUAUUUGCAUGUGAACACGUGAGAGAGAGAAGAAGUGUGAAAACCAGAGCAGAAACUGACCAAUGCUUUGGAAAGUUUGUUUUAUUUAAACCUGCUUCAAGUAACAAUCAUAUUAUGUUGAUAAAAUAAUUUUUUUAAAGAACAUUGAAUUGUGUUAAUUGUGCUCUCUGCCUGUAGUUAGAAGUUUCUUGUUUGAGGUGAUUUUGCUGCAGCAAGGCUGUGUUCUAUUCAGAGCUAUCCUCAGACUUUAUUUGUGCAAUUUAAUUUCUGAAACCAAAUGUAAUUUUAAUUGGUAACAUACCCAAAUAAAUGAAAACUCACCUGAUCAACACAAAAGAGUCGUGUGU